GGUAAAAAAGGGCAAACUAUCUGAAAAGAUAGGACGCAAAGCUAUGGGUCUAAAGCAUUUAAUGUAAGAUCGCCAGGCUGCCAAA
rnacentral:ncRNA from 1 species